rnacentral:rRNA from 1 species
UACAGAGGGGGCAAGCGUUGUUCGGAAUUACUGGGCGUAAAGGGCUCGUAGGUGGCCAACUAAGUCAGACGUGAAAUCCCUCGGCUUAACCGGGGAACUGCGUCUGAUACUGGAUGGCUAGAGAUUGGGAGAGGGAUGCGGAAUUCCAGGUGUAGCGGUGAAAUGCGUAGAUAUCCGGAGGAACACCGGUGGCGAAGGCGGCUCUCUGGAGCGGUACUGACGCUGAGACGCGAAAGCGUGGGGAGCGAACAGG